UUCUUUGAGGACAAAUAUGUUUUAAUAGCUUUUAUAUUAUGUAAUAGUGUAAUACAAAUACUAAUUUAUUAAUCAUAAUGUGAAAUUAUUUACAUUGUUAUGUUAAGACUUUUGUACAGAAAUUUACACCUAGAUAUUCUGAAGUUGGUGGUCUGUGAGUGGCAUCGAGUGAUGACUGACACAUUCUGACCUGGGGUAGAACAACACGUGUCCCUGCAGUUUGCUGAAUUUCAGGGCAUCACCACCUUUUUUCAAGAGUGUACAGCAGCACCUUGAGGGACAGAUGUGCAAAGGGCAAGGUGGGGGCCCUUCUGCUGGAGAGGCAGCUGGGGAGGUCCUUAGAGGAAGUGACACCUGAGCUCUUCUCUGAAGGGUGAAGCUGAAUUACUUGAAGCUUAGGGUGAAGGGGUGUCCAGGGAAGUGGAGCCUGUGAGCCGAAAGCAAAAUGACUUGUCCAGAGAAGUGUAACAAGUUCCAUAUUGUUUCAGUGCCAAAUCUGCACAGGAGUCACCAAACGAAAGAGCAGGAUCCUGGAGCCAGGGCAUGGGAUUUCACCCGCUGGCAAUGGGACUGUUCACUGGGAAUUCUGGGGGGCAAAACCUGAAAAUGUUUCCUCUUAGCUCCAAUUCUCUGUCUCUCUGUCUCUCUGUCUCUUUCUUUAUUAUCCUAAGAAAACACAGAUGUCUCAGAUGUGGGGAUUAGCAGCCUGCCUCUUUCUGGAUGACUCAGGGGAGCACUUUGGCCUCUGUGA
rnacentral:lncRNA from 10 species